GACGGAGGGUGCAAACGUUGUUCGGAUUUACUGGGCGUAAAGCGCGUGUAGGCGGCUUGGCAAGUCGGAUGUGAAAGCCCACGGCUCAACCGUGGAAGCGCAUCCGAAACGGCCUCGCUCGAGUCUCGGAGAGGAAGGUGGAAUGCUUGGUGUAGAGGUGAAAUUCGUAGAUAUCAAGCAGAACACCUGCGGCGAAGGCGGCCUUCUGGACGAUGACUGACGCUGAGACGCGAAAGCGUGGGGAGCGAACAGG
rnacentral:rRNA from 1 species